rnacentral:tmRNA from 1 species
GGGGACGCAUGGUUUCGACAGGAAGGAUGUCUGAAGAAUUGCAGGUCGAGAUUGUCACAGCUCUCGUUAAACAUGUGGCACAAACAUAAUUGGCGAAAGAGAAUUCGCUCUAGCCACCUAAACAGGUGGCUCGUCUUUCUUCACUACGCCCGGAUGUGAGGAGUCAGGCGCAAUAGAUCGGGCCGCAGCAGUUUUUUCCGAGGAAACUGUUUAAGAUUAAUCGGAUAGCCCAACGAGAACUAGCUGGUAGGAACUCAAAAGGGCGAAAAGCAAUUACAACCAGCUAAGCUUGUAGUAGAUUCUUGCAGAGUUGUUUCUGGACGGGGGGUUCAACUCCCCCCCGUCUCCACCA